rnacentral:rRNA from 1 species
AUGCACGCUGGCGGCGUGCCUAAUACAUGCCAGUCGAGCGAACAGACGAGGAGCUUGCUCCUCUGACGUUAGCGGCGGACGGGUGAGUAACACGUGGAUAACCUACCUAUAAGACUGGGAUAACUUCGGGAAACCGGAGCUAAUACCGGAUAAUAUAUUGAACCGCAUGGUUCAAUAGUGAAAGACGGUUUUGCUGUCACUUAUAGAUGGAUCCGCGCCGCAUUAGCUAGUUGGUAAGGUAACGGCUUACCAAGGCAACGAUGGGUAGCCGACCUGAGAGGGUGAUCGGCCACACUGGAACUGAGACACGGUCCAGACUCCUACGGGAGGCAGCAGUAGGGAAUCUUCCGCAAUGGGCGAAAGCCUGACGGAGCAACGCCGCGUGAGUGAUGAAGGUCUUCGGAUCGUAAAACUCUGUUAUUAGGGAAGAACAAAUGUGUAAGUAACUAUGCACGUCUUGACGGUACCUAAUCAGAAAGCCACGGCUAACUACGUG